rnacentral:rRNA from 1 species
GAUGAACGCUGGCGGCGUGCUUAACACAUGCAAGUCGAACGAAGCACUUUAUUUGAUUUCCUUCGGGACUGAUUAUUUUGUGACUGAGUGGCGGACGGGUGAGUAACGCGUGGGUAACCUGCCUUGUACAGGGGGAUAACAGUUGGUAACGGCUGCUAAUACCGCAUAAGCGCACAGCAUCGCAUGAUGCAGUGUGAAAAACUCCGGUGGUAUAAGAUGGACCCGCGUUGGAUUAGCUAGUUGGUGAGGUAACGGCCCACCAAGGCGACGAUCCAUAGCCGACCUGAGAGGGUGACCGGCCACAUUGGGACUGAGACACGGCACAAACUCCUACGGGAGGCAGCAGUGGGGAAUAUUGCACAAUGGGCGAAAGCCUGAUGCAGCGACGCCGCGUGAGCGAAGAAGUAUUUCGGUAUGUAAAGCGCUAUCAGCAGGGAAGAUAAUGACGGUACCUGACUAAGAAGCACCGGCUAAAUACGUG